rnacentral:rRNA from 1 species
UGACGGUACUCGCAGAAGAAGCACCGGCUAACUCCGUGCCAGCAGCCGCGGUAAUACGGAGGGUGCAAGCGUUAAUCGGAAUUACUGGGCGUAAAGCGCACGCAGGCGGUUUGUUAAGUCAGAUGUGAAAUCCCCGCGCUUAACGUGGGAACUGCAUUUGAAACUGGCAAGCUAGAGUCUAGUAGAGGGGGGUAGAAUUCCAGGUGUAGCGGUGAAAUGCGUAGAGAUCUGGAGGAAUACCGGUGGCGAAGGCGGCCCCCUGGACAAAGACUGACGCUCAGGUGCGA